rfam:Lupinus angustifolius cultivar Tanjil contig_28871, whole genome shotgun sequence.
AGGUGCGAUCAUACCAGCACUAAUGCACUAGAUCCAAUCAGAACUCCGCAGUGAAGCAUGCUUGGGUGAGAGUAGUAUUAGAAUGGGUGACCUCCUGAGAAGUCCUCGUGUUGCACCUC